rnacentral:rRNA from 1 species
UCCCAGACUCCUACGGGAGGCAGCAGUGGGGAAUAUUGGGCAAUGGGCGCAAGCCUGACCCAGCAACGCCGCGUGAAGGAAGAAGGCUUUCGGGUUGUAAACUUCUUUUCUCAGGGACGAAGCAAGUGACGGUACCUGAGGAAUAAGCCACGGCUAACUACGUGCCAGCAGCCGCGGUAAUACAUAGGGGGCAAGCGUUAUCCGGAAUUAUUGGGUGUAAAGGGUGCGUAGACGGAGAAACAAGUUGGUUGUGAAAUCCCUCGGCUCAACCGAGGAACUGCAACCAAAACUAUUUCCCUUGAGUGUCGGAGAGGAAAGUGGAAUUCCUAGUGUAGCGGUGAAAUGCGUAGAUAUUAGGAGGAACACCAGUGGCGAAGGCGACUUUCUGGACGAUAACUGACGUUGAGGCACGAAAGUGUGGGGAGCAAACAGGAUUAGAUACCCCCGUAUUC